CUGGGCAUAUGUUCCCUAUCCCUAGUCUAUAUGCAGAUAAAUACGGAAGCAUUCUGAGAAAACAAAAAUGGUGUCUAUCAGAAGAAGGGAGACUGCAGGAAUGCUGUGGACAUCCUGCAUUUCAGAAUACUUUAGCUGCCUUGUCCUCUUCCAAGCAGAGCACUAUUGUUCCAUAAUUGUCCCUUAUCUUUGAAAUUUGAUGCCCACUUGCACUAUCCAAGUACGAUCAUUUAAAGGAAGAGCGUGAGAAUGCACAAAGCGCAGCUGAACUCCUGGAAAAGUGAGGAUUUGUCAAAGCUAUUGUAAGGCUUUGACCCUUGAAUCUUCCAGGCUCACAUUGUGCUCCAGGUGUUGUAAGAGAAGAUUUUUUAUCAAUGAGAAUGUAAGAAGCUGAAAUCUAGAAAACACACC